rnacentral:ncRNA from 1 species
AUAACAGGCUGAUGACUCCUAGAGCUCCUAUCGACGGAGUCGUUGGUACCUCGAUGUCGACUCAUCACAUCCUAGAGCUAAAGAAGGUUCCAACGGUUCGCCUACUCGCCGGUUUAGAUGCGUGAUCAUUAUCUAGUCCUAAAAAUA